CCUCUGAUAGCUCAGUUGGCAGAGCGGUGGACUGUAGUGCUUCUGCAAAGAAAUCCAUAGGUCGCUGGUUCAAAUCCGGCUCAGAGGA
rfam:Trichuris suis scaffold168.3, whole genome shotgun sequence.